AGAAAAUAUUGCCAUCCAUACUGACAAAAUACCUCAUUUGUUUUCAACAAAUUCCAUCUUGAGAAAUACAUGUUAAAAAAAAAAACAGUAUUUUCUAGAAAUGCACUCUCCCCUAAAGAAAGUCCCAGAUAAAUUUUGGCAGUUUAUGGGUAAAAAAAAGAGGCACUCACAUCAGGUGGUAGUUUUUUACAUCAGCGACUAUAGCUGCUGAACUUGGAAGACUGUUGUAGAGACUGUGUAAAGGAAAUACUGUGUGGUUUGUAUUCCUCUUUUUCUUUGCUAUCAAAUGGAUGAGUGUUACACUGCUGGAAAAACGGUACGAUAAAGAAUUAACAUUUGGCAAAUAACAAAACGAUGCCUUCAUUCUAAAUCUUUGGCAAUGAAAGCUGUAAUUACACAAAUCAAUCCUUCUCUUAUUCUUUGGAAUGACAGAAUAUGUAUCACAAGAGUUUGUCUACAUGUAGAGGAAUUUGUUUUACAUAUGUCUUUGCCUUGUAAAUAAAAUGGACCUCUCCUUGUGUUUUAAUUUCCUCACCUGAAAAACUGGCAAUAAAAGUAUCAACUCCAACAGAAUUAUGAAAAAUAAAUAAAAUGCAUUUAAACACAAGUAAUUUUGUUAAAAAUUUCUUUGGAAAUUAAAGGAACCUUGGAAACUUACCAUUAUUUAAAAUACCUGCUAAAUCAGUUCCCAUUAUUCUUUAAGCCCACAUAAUACCAAGAUUUUAGCCCUACAUUCUCUUGAUUUUAAGUAACUUCAAAAACUUUAGUAAUUGUGAGUUUAUUAUCUAAUUAUUUUCACAGAGGAGGGCCUAAACUAGGAACUCCUUUUCUCCAACAUCUGCAAGAUCAUGUCCAUAAAGAUAUUUUAGUAGACACCAAGCCUCUAGUAGAAACAGAAAGGGUACUACAGUUCUCAUCUACUGGCCUAACAGAUAUAAAACAUUUUCAGAGCUGCAAAAUAUUGUCCAUGGCUUCCCGUACUGUCUAUCCAUUAACUCAACACUCCUUAAAUCUUAACUAGUCAGGAGAAAGCUCAACCCAGGAAAGGCAAGACAGAAUAAAAGAGCAAAAUCACAUCUGUCCACAAACCAUCUAAUGACCCUCACAAGGUUCACUCCAGACUGAAACAUUUCAUAGGGGUAAAUGAUGCAUUCAUAAUAAGAUCUUAGCCAGGACCCAAUGUUUUUGCCUGGUGGAGGUGCUGGGCAACUCGGGCCCACUGAUGGUUCUUGCAAAUGGCUUCAAAGCCCCCUUCCUCCAUCACAAUCUAAAAGAAUUAAGAAGGAGUAGAGUUAACUGUGAGUAGAUUAUAGAUACCUAAAA